CCUACGGGAGGCAGCAGUGGGGAAUCUUGCGCAAUGGGCGAAAGCCUGACGCAGCCAUGCCGCGUGAAUGAUGAAGGUCUUAGGAUUGUAAAAUUCUUUCACCGGGGACGAUAAUGACGGUACCCGGAGAAGAAGCCCCGGCUAACUUCGUGCCAGCAGCCGCGGUAAUACGAAGGGGGCUAGCGUUGCUCGGAAUUACUGGGCGUAAAGGGAGCGUAGGCGGAUAGUUUAGUCAGAGGUGAAAGCCCAGGGCUCAACCUUGGAAUUGCCUUUGAUACUGGCUAUCUUGAGUAUGGGAGAGGUUAGCGGAACUCCGAGUGUAGAGGUGAAAUUCGUAGAUAUUCGGAAGAACACCAGUGGCGAAGGCGGCUAACUGGCCCAUUACUGACGCUGAGGCUCGAAAGCGUGGGGAGCAAACAGGAUUAGAUACCCUGGUAGUCCACGCCGUAAACGAUGAGUGCUAGUUGUCGGCAUGCAUGCAUGUCGGUGACGCAGCUACGACAUUAAGACACUCCGCCGUGGGGAGGUACGGUCGCGAGAAGUUAAACUAACUAAUAGUUAAGUUAGUACGGCGUUGAGACGUUGCCGACGGGACGACCGACGAGGGGAGGUUAGG
rnacentral:rRNA from 1 species